GACGAACCGAGCGAACGUUGUUCGGAAUCACUGGGCUUAAGGGGCGCGUAGGCGGGCUGUCAAGUCUGGGGUGAAAUCCCGCGGCUCAACCGUGGAACUGCCUCAGAUACUGACGGCCUCGAGGGAGAUAGGGGCGAGCGGAACUAAUGGUGGAGCGGUGAAAUGCGUUGAUAUCAUUAGGAACUCCGGUGGCGAAGGCGGCUCGCUGGAUCUUUUCUGACGCUGAGGCGCGAAAGCUAGGGGAGCAAACGGG
rnacentral:rRNA from 1 species